rnacentral:lncRNA from 1 species
UUUCUGCACCUGCCACUCCACCAGUCCUCACUUCCCGUUGCAGGUGGGGCUGAGAGCACAGCCUGAGCCCACCACGGCUCUGCAGCCGUGUCCGUCCUGCGGCCGCAGCUGGAGCUGCUCUGGGACACGGGUGGUGAGGUGGCCCGGGAUGUGUCCCAGCAGUGCUACUCCCUGCUCUCAUGGCUCCAGGGCAGCCUGCCCUGGCUCAGCGAGUGGGUAAGGGGGGGUUCCUGGGGCUGGAGGAGACCAGGAAUGCAGUGGGGGGCUUAUGGGAGGGGGAGUGCUGGGGAUCUGGGGAGGGGGAGGCCCUGCUCCACAUCUCCAGUGCCAUUCGUCCCACCUAUAGGUGCCCCCUGCUCUGACUGCUUCCAGUGGCUGUCAGGGCUGACAGGGAGAGGGCUGAGAGAACUUGCUGCUGUUGGUGUCCUGAAAACCAGUGUUUUGGUGGCAGUGGGGUGAUGUCAGUGUUGCACAGAGUGUGGGUGCCCUGUUUGCUGUGUGCUGGAGAAGGGGGGAGGUGGGGAAGGGCUCAGGGGUGAGGUGGAGCUAUCAGGUUACUGGGACCCCAGCCCCGGACCUGCUGGGGGGUUUGAUGCUCACCCCACACCUGUCUCUGCUCCUGCAGGUCCAGACCCGGCUCCCCGAGUCCCUGCUGCACUUCGGCGAGUGCGUGCGGGAGCUGCUGCUGUUCCUGGUGUGGAGCUGCCUGGUGCCGCUGCUGCAGGGCCUGGCCUCGGCGCUGCAGCAGGGCUGGCAGCGCUGCCUCGACUCCUGCAAUGGGGACGUGACAUGGGAGUGCGUAAGGGACCACCUGACGAGUUUCACCUAUUCUUCUUGGAUUUACCUGCAAAACACAACCCUGGCCCUCAAAAACUGGGCCCUGGCCAUGAUUUCUGGACACUGAGCUGCUUUCUGGAGAAGGUCACGCUGUCUCCCGACAUUCCAACUGCCAGAGGGUAUCCCAGUGCAGCUGGAUGGGGGAUGGAGACGUUGAGGGCGAUGCCUACAGGAACUUUGGGUCAAAUCGGGGCUUUUGGGGGAGGUUUAUUUUCUGGGGGACUGGGGAGACACACAUACAGGUUUUUUCC